CAAAAUAUUGCGAGGGGCUCCCCCUCACAAUUUGACUGAAUAAAAUUUUCAAGGGGCAACCCCACGCAAAAAAGCAUGCAUGUGUCCCAUCCAUUACUACGUUCAGACUGUGUGUGCAGGUGUUAUUUCCUAGACUACAAAUGGCGAGGGGCAACUCCACGCAUUAUAGUCCCAAUUUACUGUGCGCAAUAAAUUCUUCUACCAACCCCACUACUUCCUCUCAGUAACGUUACAAUAGUAUUCUUUAUAGCUUCUCCUCACUCUCCACCCACUCCCCACACAUUCUCAUUACUGCUUCCUUUAAUUUUUCAUCCAUUCCCAAAAUUAUUUCAAAUAUCAUCUUCUUCUUCCAUGAGUCAUGAAGCCAUGAAAAUUAUAUCAUCUUCAAAUUAAAAAUUUUGAGAAGCCCAAUAUUUUAAAGGAAAGCUCCAAAAUCUACACCAAAAUUAUCUACAAAUAAGAGUUGUGGGAAGAAAUGAGGAGCCAGACACAACAGUAUCAAGAAGUAAUGCGAAUUGCAAACGAGCAAACACAAAGAUUUGAUUUUUUUUUUUGUGACAAAAUACCGGUGGUGGAUUUGGAGAAGCUAAUGGUGGAUAUGGAGGAGUUGUUGAAGAAGAGGAGGAACAAGAUGAAGAAAUAAUUAAAUUUGAAUAUUUAAAUUUAUUUUAAUUUGUAUGGAAGAAUUUAUGUGUCAAUUAACAACUAUUUUGAAUAUUUUGUAUGGAACUUUAUUUUAAUUUUUAUUAUGUUUAAUUGAAUAUUAAUUAUUAAUAUUUAUUA